rnacentral:rRNA from 1 species
ACGCUUGAAGUCAGUCAUGUCAUCCAGGGAUCAACCUUGCUUUUGCUUGGUGCACUUUCUGGUUUGACGGGUCAGCAUCAAUUUUGACCAUUGGAAAAAGGUUGAGGGAAUGUGGCAUCUUUGGAUGUGUUAUAGCCCUUGGUCGUAUACAAUGGUUGGUAUUGAGGAACUCAGCACGCCGCAAGGCCGGGUUUUUAACCACGUACGUGCUUAGGAUGCUGGCAAUAUGGCUUUAAUCGACCCGUCUUGAAACACGGACCAAGGAGUC